rnacentral:sRNA from 1 species
UGCUAGCCCAGAUGGAAGUGAAAAUCCUUUUUAUGCGCCGUUUUGGCGGAUAAAAAGAUUGUAACAAACAGCUGGAAAUAGC